AUACGUAUGUCGCAAGCGUUAUCCGGAUUUAUUGGGCGUAAAGCGCGUCUAGGCGGCUUAGUAAGUCUGAUGUGAAAAUGCGGGGCUCAACCCCGUAUUGCGUUGGAAACUGCUAAACUAGAGUACUGGAGAGGUAGGCGGAACUACAAGUGUAGGGGUGAAAUUCGUAGAUAUUUGUAGGAAUGCCGAUGGGGAAGCCAGCCUACUGGACAGAUACUGACGCUAAAGCGCGAAAGCGUGGGUAGCAAACAGGAUUAGAUACCCUGGUAGUCCACGCCGUAAACGAUGAUUACUAGGUGUUGGGGGUCGAACCUCAGCGCCCAAGCUAACGCGAUAAGUAAUCCGCCUGGGGAGUACGUACGCAAGGAUGAAACUCAAAGGAAUUGACGGGG
rnacentral:rRNA from 1 species